rnacentral:lncRNA from 1 species
AUAUCUUCAUAGUUAUAAAUCUGAUAUAACUACAUUAAUAGUAUGUUAAGAGAACCAUCCACAAGGAAACUUAGACACUUGUUGGUCUGAUCACACUGUCUAAACUUUUCAUCUUGAGUAUAUACUAACCUUGUGGGUUAGGGAAACAAGCAUGAAAGUCGUGAUGUUUUGUAGAGCCUGAGGGGUCAUAUGGUAUCCCUUUCCUUUGUGAGGAUGAGGAUGGAGCAAUACUCUUAAAGACCAAAUAUCACAUCUAAAAACUUCCUGCCCAGUGUUUUGCUUUGAAUUAGUAGGAUGCCUGCCAUUAAGUGAAGGCCUUAGUUUAGGAACUAUAACUCAAUUUCUCAAUGUCUCUUCACACUUUUUUGACCCACUUCUAUUUUUUGGCAUUGAUUUAUCAUUUCUUUCAGUUUUAUGUCCACUUAUGUAUUUAGUUGGUGAGAAGACCUCACUACUUCUCAAUCACCAUGUCGACACCCUAAAAGUUUCAUCAUAUGAAUAAGAUAUUGGCCUAUUUAGGCCUUUACAAGUUUAUUUCUACUAUAUUAGUUUUCCUUUCUUUACAUGCCGAAUGCCUUUCUUAAUUUUAAGUUAGUAAUAGACUAAUAUCUCAAAAUCUAGACGUUCGCGAGUAUGAAUGUUCUCCUUUUUAAAUCUCUACAGGUGCUUGUUUGUUCAAGAGAUGGCAGUGUUUACUCCUUUGAUUUGGUAAAGAUCUUGAACUUCAGUUGUUCUUGUGCAGCUUAUGAUUAUGACAUAUAAAGAGCAUGCUAUGCUGAUGGUGUUUUCUCUCUUGAAGACCAAAUGUUCUUGUGCAGCUUAUGAUUAUGGCAUAUAAAUAGCAUACUAUGCUGAUGGCGUUUUCUCCUUAAGGAGCUUGAAGACCAAAUUUGGCGUUUUUGUCGGAACAAUUUUCUUAUUCUCUGUAUCUUUUCCUCAUUAAGCUAGGUUCUCCUUUUCCAAAUCACCUCCAUAUAGGUGUAGUUUAAGCACCCAAGUUAGUUUUACCGAAUCCAGUGCAAAUCCCACACCAACACCCAAAUCGCAUCGAAUUGAUACCUGUGCGACAAGAAUUUUGAAGGAUCUGAGCAAUAUAGAUUACCUCAAGAGAUCUCUCUAUUUUUCUGUUUAAACUAACAAUGUUUAAGCCUACAUGAUAAUGAAUCUAUAUUUGUUUUAAUGACGGCGGUGUCCAGGCCAGCUUGUGCACACUUUGAUUAUUCCACCGAGUACCUCCCACCAGCACAAGUAUUGGGUAACUUUGCCCACCAAGGCUUAGGCAAAUGAGAAGAAAUAGUGUUUUUUGCUUCCACUGGGAUUUGAACCUGAGACCUUAUGGCUCUCCUCCCACUGUAUUGACUACUAGGCCACACCCUUGGGUGCACGGAUCUAUUUUAUUUGUCAAAAUCUAGUUUCUAGCCAUUAAUUCCUAGUUGAAC